GAGUUUGAUCUUGGCUCAGGAUGAACGCUGGCGGCGUGCCUAAUACAUGCAAGUCGAGCGGUAAGGCUACUUCGGUAGUACACGAGCGGCGGACGGCUGAGUAACACGUAGGAACGUACCCCAAAGUGAGGCAUAAGCACCAGAAAUGGUGUCUAAUACCGCAUGUGAUCUUCGGAUUAAAGCUUCGGCGCUUUGGGAACGGCCUGCGCAUGAUUAGCUUGUUGGUGAGGUAAUAGCUCACCAAGGCGACGAUCAUUAGCUGGUCUGAGAGGAUGACCAGCCAGACUGGGACUGAGAACGGCCCAGACUCCUACGGGAGGCAGCAGUAGGGAAUUUUCCACAAUGGGCGAAAGCCUGAUGGAGCAACGCCGUGUGCAGGAUGAAGGCC
rnacentral:rRNA from 1 species